rnacentral:rRNA from 1 species
UACGUAGGCAGCGAGCGUUGUUCGGAGUUACUGGGCGUAAAGGGUGUGUAGGCGGUUGUUUAAGUUUGGUGUGAAAUCUCCCGGCUCAACCGGGAGGGUGCGCCGAAUACUGAAUGACUCGAGUGCGGGAGAGGAGAGUGGAAUUCCUGGUGUAGCGGUGAAAUGCGUAGAUAUCAGGAGGAACACCGGUGGUGUAGACGGCUCUCUGGACCGUAACUGACGCUGAGACACGAAAGCGUGGGUAGCAAACAGG